GGGGAAUAUUGCGCAAUGGGGGGAACCCUGACGCAGCCAUGCCGCGUGAAUGAAGAAGGCCUUAGGGUUGUAAAGUUCUUUCGGUAUUGAGGAAGGUUGAUGUGUUAAUAGCACAUCAAAUUGACGUUAAAUACAGAAGAAGCACCGGCUAACUCCGUGCCAGCAGCCGCGGUAAUACGGAGGGUGCGAGCGUUAAUCGGAAUAACUGGGCGUAAAGGGCACGCAGGCGGUUAUUUAAGUGAGGUGUGAAAGCCCCGGGCUUAACCUGGGAAUUGCAUUUCAGACUGGGUAACUAGAGUACUUUAGGGAGGGGUAGAAUUCCACGUGUAGCGGUGAAAUGCGUAGAGAUGUGGAGGAAUACCGAAGGCGAAGGCAGCCCCUUGGGAAUGUACUGACGCUCAUGUGCGAAAGCGUGGGGAGCAAACAGGAUUAGAUACCCUGGUAGUCCACGCUGUAAACGCUGUCGAUUUGGGGGUUGGGGUUUAACUCUGGCGCCCGUAGCUAACGUGAUAAAUCGACCGCCUGGGGAGUACGGCCGCAAGGUUA
rnacentral:rRNA from 1 species